rnacentral:rRNA from 1 species
AAUGAACGCUGGCGGCGUGCCUAAUACAUGCAAGUCGAGCGAAUGGAUUAAGAGCUUGCUCUUAUGAAGUUAGCGGCGGACGGGUGAGUAACACGUGGGUAACCUGCCCAUAAGACUGGGAUAACUCCGGGAAACCGGGGCUAAUACCGGAUAACAUUUUGAACCGCAUGGUUCGAAAUUGAAAGGCGGCUUCGGCUGUCACUUAUGGAUGGACCCGCGUCGCAUUAGCUAGUUGGUGAGGUAACGGCUCACCAAGGCAACGAUGCGUAGCCGACCUGAGAGGGUGAUCGGCCACACUGGGACUGAGACACGGCCCAGACUCCUACGGGAGGCAGCAGUAGGGAAUCUUCCGCAAUGGACGAAAGUCUGACGGAGCAACGCCGCGUGAGUGAUGAAGGCUUUCGGGUCGUAAAACUCUGUUGUUAGGGAAGAACAAGUGCUAGUUAAAUAAGCUGGCACCUUGACGGUACCUAACCAGAAAGCCACGGCUAACUACGUGCCAGCCGCCGCGGUAA